GCACUGCUGAGGAGUCCCACAAUAGGACGUAAUGUCCGUCCAGUGC
rfam:Schistosoma rodhaini strain Burundi genome assembly, scaffold: SROB_scaffold0002202